AAUUGUCCAUUUGGGUAUGAGUGAAUCAUCCUGCUUGCUUUUAUAAACAUUUAUCCUGAAAAGAAAUUUAAACCAGACAUCCCAUAAAUGGAGUCUGGGACAAAAACCUAGACACUGGGGCUUGGUGGCAUGCAUGUGUAGUCACAGCUACAUGGUAGGGAGGCUGAAGCUGAAGAUUACUUUAGCCCAGGAAUUCAAGGCUAGCCUACACAACAUAUUCCAGGUGGGGCCUCUGGGUGGUGGUGAGGUCAUGAGAGUGGAGCCUCAUGAAUGGGAUGAGCACUCUUACAAAAAGGAUUCCAGAGAGCUACCUUGCCCCUUCCACAGUGUGAGGACACAGCAAGAAGGCUCUGUCUAUGAAUGAGGAAGUGGGACCCCACCAGACAUUGAAUCUGCCGCAUCUUGAUAUUGGACUUCCAGUCUCCAGAACUGUGGGCAAUAAAUGUCUGUUGUUUAUUACCUGUCCAGUAUCUUUGGUAUUUUGCAACCCAAAUGGACUAAGAAAACACCAGAGGCCAUACCUAAUAAAAAUAUUGACAUCACAA